rnacentral:rRNA from 1 species
GUGGGGAAUCUUCCGCAAUGGACGAAAGUCUGACGGAGCAACGCCGCGUGAGUGAUGAAGGUCUUCGGAUUGUAAAGCUCUGUUAAUCGGGACGAAAGAGCCUAGUGUGAAUAAUGCUAGGAAGUGACGGUACCGGAAUAGAAAGCCACGGCUAACUACGUGCCAGCAGCCGCGGUAAUACGUAGGUGGCAAGCGUUGUCCGGAAUUAUUUGGCGUAAAGCGCGCGCAGGCGGAUCUGCCAGUCGGUCUUAAAAGUUCGGGGCUUAACCCCGUGAUGGGAUGGAAACUACAGAUCUAGAGUAUCGGAGAGGAAAGUGGAAUUCCUAGUGUAGCGGUGAAAUGCGUAGAUAUUAGGAAGAACACCAGUGGCGAAGGCGACUUUCUGGACGAAAACUGACGCUGAGGCGCGAAAGCCAGGGGAGCGAACGGGAUUAGAAACCCUAGUAGUCC